rnacentral:rRNA from 1 species
UCGGGAAUUUUGGGCAAUGGGCGAAAGCCUGACCCAGCAACGCCGCGUGAAGGAUGAAGUAUUUCGGUAUGUAAACUUCGAAAGAAUAGGAAGAAUAAAUGACGGUACUAUUUAUAAGGUCCGGCUAACUACGUGCCAGCAGCCGCGGUAAUACGUAGGGACCAAGCGUUGUUCGGAUUUACUGGGCGUAAAGGGCGCGUAGGCGGCAAUUCAAGUCAUCUGUGAAAUCUCCGGGCUUAACUCGGAACGGUCAGAUGAUACUGCUUUGCUAGAGUGCAGAAGGGGCAAUCGGAAUUCUUGGUGUAGCGGUGAAAUGCGUAGAUAUCAAGAGGAACACCUGAGGUGAAGACGGGUUGCUGGGCUGACACUGACGCUGAGGCGCGAAAGCCAGGGGAGCAAACGGGAUUAGAUACCCCCGUAGUCCCUGAGCGGGCUGGCA